GAAAGUAAGCAAGGGCAGACGGUGGAUGCCUUGGCUCUCGGAGGCGAUGAAGGACGUGAUAAGCUGCGAUAAGCUUGGGGUAGGUGCAAAUAACCUUUGAUCCCAAGAUUUCCGAAUGGGGCAACCCGGCUGGUAGAAGGCCAGUCAUUCCGUAAGGAAGGCGAACGUGGGGAACUGAAACAUCUAAGUACCCAUAGGAGAAGAAAACAAAAGUGAUUCCGCAAGUAGUGGCGAGCGAACGCGGAACAGCCCAAACCGAUGAUGUUUAGGCAUUGUCGGGGUAGUAGGACCACGUUGUGGCAAGAGAUUAAGGAAGUAGAACGUUUUGGAACAAACGGCCGUAGACGGUGAAAGCCCGGUAUACGACUCUUUAACGAAGCCUAGUGGAAUCCUGAGUAGCGCGGAGCACGAGAAAUUCUGUGUGAAUCAGCGGGGCCCAUCCCGUAAGGCUAAAUACUCCCGAGAGACCGAUAGCGAACCAGUACUGUGAAGGAAAGGUGAAAAGCACCUCGAACAGAGGAGUGAAAUAGUCCCUGAAACCGUCUGCCUACAAGCGGUCGGAGCACAUUAAAGUGUGACGGCGUGCCUUUUGCAUAAUGAACCUACGAGUUACUUUCUCCGGCAAGGUUAAGGGCUUCAGGCCCGGAGCCGAAGCGAAAGCGAGUCUUAAUAGGGCGUGAUAGUCGGAGUGAGUAGACGCGAAACCAAGUGAUCUACCCUUGGUCAGGAUGAAGGUUGGGUAACACCAACUGGAGGUCCGAAUGGGUAUACGUUGAAAAGUGUUCCAAUGAACUGAGGGUAGGGGUGAAAGGCUAAUCAAACUUGGAGAUAGCUCGUACUCCCCGAAAUGCAUUUAGGUGCAGCCUUUAUUUAGUAUAGCAUGAGGUAGAGCGACUGAUUGGAUGCGAGGGCUUCACCGCCUAUCAAGUCCAGAUAAACUCCGAAUGCGUGCUAUAUAUUGAUAAGGAGUGAGGGCGCGGGUGCUAAGGUCCGCGUCCGAGAGGAGAAGAAUCCAGACCAUCAGCUAAGGUCCCCAAAUAACAGUUAAGUUGAACUAACGAAGUCGGACUGCAGAGACAGCUAGGAUGUUGGCUUGGAAGCAGCCAUUCAUUUAAAGAGUGCGUAACAGCUCACUAGUCGAGGAGUCCGGCGUGGAUAAUACUCGGGCAUAAACUGUUUACCGAAGCUAUGGAUGUAGAAAUACAUGGUAGGGGAGCAUUCCAACGGCGUCGAAGGUGAAGGAUGACCUUUGCUGGAGCUUUUGGAAACGCAAAUGUAGGUAUAAGUAACGAUAAAGGAGGUGAGAAACCUCCUCGCCGAAAGACUAAGGUUUCCUGAUCAACGUUAAUCGGAUCAGGGUAAGUCGGGACCUAAGGUUAAGCCGAACGGCGAUACCGAUGGAAGAAUGGUUUAAUAUUCCCAUACUACUUUAUGGAGCGAUGUGGAGACGGAGAAGUGAAAGUCCUGCCAUCUGACGGAAUAGGUGGUUGAAGAGUGUAGAUGUAGAUUCCUGUAGGCAAAUCCGCAGGGAGAGUCGACCUUGACAGUAUGCCGCGUGCUUGCACAAGGCAAAAUGGACGUAAUCAGGCUCCCAAGAAAAUCCGCUAAGCAUAUUCAUAAAGUACCCGUACCGUAAACGGACACACGUAGUUGGGUUGAAAAUACUGAGGCGCUCGAGUGAUUCACGGUUAAGGAACUAGGCAAAUUGACCCUGUAACUUCGGGAUAAAGGGUCCCUACUGAGAGGUAGGGCGCAGAGAAUAGGUCCAGGCAACUGUUUAACAAAAACACAUGGCUGUGCGAAAUAGAAAUAUGAAGUAUACAGCCUGACACCUGCCCGGUGCUGGAAGGUUAAGAGGAGAGCUCAUCGCAAGAGAAGGCUUGAAUUGAAGCCCCAGUAAACGGCGGCCGUAACUAUAACGGUCCUAAGGUAGCGAAAUUCCUUGUCGGGUAAGUUC
rnacentral:rRNA from 1 species